rnacentral:rRNA from 1 species
GGCCCAGAUCGUUUACCGUGAAAAAAUUAGAGUGUUCAAAGCAGGCAGAUUCAAUUUUCUGCCACCGAAUACAUUAGCAUGGGAUAAUGGAAUAGGACCCUGUCCUCCUCUUUUCAGUUGGUUAAAUUUACGUGUGAGGAUCAGGGUAAUGAUUAAUAGGGAUAGUUGGGGGCAUUAAUAUUUAAUUGUCAGAGGUGAAAUUCUUGGAUUUAUGAAAGAUUAACUUCUGCGAAAGCAUCUGCCAAGGAUGUUUUCAUUAAUCAAGAACGAAAGUUAGGGGAUCGAAGACGAUCAGAUACCGUCGUAGUCUUAACCAUAAACGAUGCCGACCAGCGAUUAGGAGACGUUGAAUACAAAACACCACCAUAUAUAAUUCAGCAUAUGGCAUCCUCACGGGUGUUGUAUGUUGAUUGUGUAUGGCUAUCGGUGAAUGACUCCCCUAGCAGCUUGUGAGA